rnacentral:tRNA from 1 species
GCGGGUAUAGUUCAGUGGUAGAACGUAUGCUUCCCAAGCAUAAUGUCAGGGGUUCGAAUCCCCUUACCCGCU